GUGGUUACAGUAGCAAAAACUAUGAUAGCAAUAGCAUUACCUAGGAAAAGCACUCGUUGUGCAAUUGAUUCAAAGAAGAUAGCUGCGAGAAGGCUGCAGAUUGCUGGAUGGUUACUGCGUCUGGCUAAAUCUCUACAUGUUCCCCUGUUUCUGACAACCCAUUUUUGUUGCACUGCUCUAGAGUAGAUGCCCAAUUCCCACAUUUCUACACCGUUGCUAUGGUCUUCGAGGCACCGAAUUAGGGUUUCAACGUUUAUUGCUAGGGUUCCUGUUUCCUUCUAGACAAAGAACUUCGAAGUCUUCAUGGUCUUUCAAUCCAUACCAUUUCACUUGUCGAAGAUGUUCGUAUGGACACACUGGCUUUAAAAUCCCAGCUCGAACUCAUUUCUUGCUGAGAUCUUGCCAGUUCGUAACCGAGACAGGCUAAUGCACGAUGAGUGUGCAAGUGCACUUGCAGAUAAUGUGCACGGCGAGUAUUAGAAAACUCUUAGCGUGGUUUAGCAACAGGUUUAGAUUGGUGUUGGCCAUCACAGUACAGAUUACGCUGCCUUUUUGGGGGAUUCAAAAUUUGCUUCUAUGAGUUUGGUUGAUCUUGCUACAUGGAAAGUCACUAGGGCCUUCCUGGUGCUCUGGUCGGGAUACAGUUGCUGUCCCCUUCUUGCCCCGAACUGCGAUCAUUGGUUGGUUUAUGCCUCUUCCGAUUCUGUGUGGUCUUGCUUCACCUUGUCGAUAACAUUGGCGCCGGUUAUGACAUUGCUUGCAGCCACACAUUUGAGGAAAACUUUUUGUGUGGUGAAUAUACAAUUCUUCAACACAUGCUAACAACACCAAAGGAACUGCCUGUACUCCUUGCAGUUCCAAGGAUUGUAAAGCAUGGUCGCUUCAACACUCGCUGGAAGACUUAUGAAUGAGUCAGAUGUCGACGGCCACUUGAAUGCAACACAAUUACAGCUGAGUCUACAGGAAGCAUUGCUGGAGCAGGUCUGAAUGAGUGUCUGUACCUAAGAAACCUUCACUUCGAAAAUUCUGAAGCUGGAACUGCAUGCGAUGAAAGCUCUUCGACUAUCACAUGUAAUCGGACAUCGCAGCCUCUCUCUGGCACGAGUUCAGCACCAUGAGGCGAGGUCAGCCAUCAUAUUGUCCACUUUCCCAAAACAAAGUCACUCUUCUACAAGUAAGUGACAUGAAGCUUGACAGUUAUCUGAAUUUCCCUUUCAUUUGUCGAUGAUACAGCAGCAACAAUAUGGUAUUCGAGCGCUUCUAAUUAGUCUAGCGAUAUGUCUCCGUUUCAAGGUCAACGCUUGCCCAGCACUGUGUGUCGGUCGAGGAAUUGUCGAACAACGACAAGAUUUCAGGUUCCUUCUCCAAUCUGAAAGGAAGGUAAAAAUCUUGUCAGUUGACAGUUGUAAGUCACUGACCAGAAUAAUCCUUCGCUGACCGAUUGAAUCAGGUAUAGAUCACGUAAGUUCAUGUUGGAGUCGUAUCAGUGCUCCAAAUUACGACAAUCAGGACCAAGAAUAUUGAGCGAAGAAUGACGGUUGUAGUACUCAAUGUGCGCAUAGAUGCUUUCGCUGUACUUAUACAGCUAUGUAUGAGGUUUUACUCUUUAGAUAAUUUUUCUACCUCUCUGCCUGACAGGUCUGCCUUGUUAGCUCAGUUGGUUAGAGCGUCGUGCUAAUAACGCGAAGGUCACAGGUUCGAGACCUGUACAGGGCAAUGCUUAUUGACCUAUCUAGGUCAAAACCUUGUGAUCGUGUUUUACGCGAUGUCGGCUUGUCCCCAGUUCAAUCAUCUUCAUACCUCUAUUCUGAUCAGACAGCUGCAUCUGGUCGAUAUUUUUGUUCUGGGAGUGUCAGAAGUUAUUUCCAUGCACUUCGAACCAUUUCACAGACCUCCACGUCUUUAGCUUUUCUUCCAUCGUUUUUCGAUUUUCUUGAUGCCUUCCUUGUUUUGUUCUCCGAACUUGUGAGUGUCAGGCCUCGAAUUGAGUCCAGAAGCUUCUGCGGACCUCCGGUUUUAUUAGAAUCUGUCCUCAUUUUCAAUCCAUCUCUUGCCUUUGAAUUUCAUGUAAACAUUAACGUCAGGCAGUUUUCCAGCACUCCCUGCUCUAAAUUUUAUUUUAACGAUCUUACAAGCAUGAAGUGCAAAACAAGAAUCGGAGUCAACCAACCUCUCCUUUACGUUAGUUGUGGUUUUCACGGGCUUGGUGAAGGGUGGCGAAGCUCUCGCGAUCAGUUUCGGUAGAUUUACCAUACACAGAAGUAACAUUAGGAUCAUAUUCUAAACUUGGAGAUGUCUUUGUUAGGUUUCUAAAUUGGGCUGUGACAAAGCGGGUUGGCCACACUUCCGAAUCCCAUCUUCAACUGUUCCUUUCUUUUAGCAAUCAUGUCAUUGAUUCCAAACUCGGGUGCCGGACAAAUUCUAAGUGAUUAAAACCGAACUCAAUACUUUGAAUUUCAGUGUCCGCAGUAGUGGCUAUGAGCCAGCUCUUUAAUUCCAUCUGUGUUCGAUUGUGAAGCAGACCUCAAAUCAAGAAGACUUUGCAACUUUA